GCUUAGCGGCCAUACCACCCUGAACAUGCCCGAUCUCGUCAGAUCUCGGAAGCUAAGCAGGUCGGGCCUGGUUAGUACUUGGAUGGGAGACCGCCUGGGAAUACCAGGUGCUGUAAGCU
rnacentral:rRNA from 1 species